CACGUAGGCGGCCUGUCAAGUCGGAUGUGAAAAACCCAUGGCUCAACUGUGGGACUGCAUUCGAAACUGGCAGGCUAGAGUCCAGUAGAGGAAAGUGGAAUUCCCAGUGUAGCGGUGAAAUGCGCAGAUAUUGGGAAGAACACCGGUGGCGAAGGCGGCUUUCUGGGCUGUGACUGACGCUGAGGUGCGAAAGCUAGGGGAGCGAACAGGAUUAGAUACCCUGGUAGUCCUAGCCGUAAACGAUGGGCACUAGGUGUGGGGAGUGUCAACUCUUUCCGUGCCGAAGCUAACGCAUUAAGUGCCCCGCCUGGGGAGUACGGUCGCAAGGCUAAA
rnacentral:rRNA from 1 species